GACGAACGCUGGCGGCGUGCUUAACACAUGCAAGUCGAACGGAAAGGCCCUGCUUGCAGGGUACUCGAGUGGCGAACGGGUGAGUAACACGUGGGUGAUCUGCCCUGCACUUCGGGAUAAGCCUGGGAAACUGGGUCUAAUACCGGAUAGGAGCCAUUUUGAGUGUGAUGGUUGGAAAGUUUUUUCGGUGUAGGAUGAGCUCGCGGCCUAUCAGCUUGUUGGUGGGGUAAUGGCCUACCAAGGCGGCGACGGGUAGCCGGCCUGAGAGGGUGGACGGCCACAUUGGGACUGAGAGACGGCCCAGACUCCUACGGGAGGCAGCAGGGGGGAAUAGUGAACAAUGGGCGCAAGCCUGAUGCAGAGACGCCGCGUGGGGGAUGACGGACUUCGGGUUGUAAACUCCUUUCGCUAGGGACGAAGCUUUUUGUGACGGUACCUAGAGAAGAAGCACCGGCUAACUACGUG
rnacentral:rRNA from 1 species